AAUUGGAAAUUAACUUUCGCACGUGCUCAUCUUACUUGUGUCUCCAAGAUCCAUCGAGCCCAUCGCCCCAUUCGAUCUGUCUCGACUCGGGAACGAAGGUUGGUUCGAUGAUCGCGAAGACGGAGGAGGUAUGUGCGCUGCUUCUUCUAGGGUUGCCUCUUGGUUUGAGGGUGGGAGCUGACGGAACCAAUCAUAGGUACGAGGAGGGUGAUCAUGUGCCCCUCCCUGUAUGCCAACAAGGUGAUACGAAGUGGAAAACUCAGAGCUCAAAGUGCCAAAUCAAUGAAGUUCAAGGAUGGUUACAUGAUUUCUUCUAGUCAGCCUAUCCAUUAAUACAGAGGUUUUGCUGUGAGGCAUCUUCUCCUCAGACAGGCUAUUCUGACACCUGAUGAGUAAACCACACUGUAAGCUCUUUUCUCAUUUUUCCCUUAGCUUGAUUAUCAUGUAUGCUUGGACCCUUUCACUAUAUACUGCCAAAGAAGGGGAAAAUUCAGUUUUAGAAGUGAUAAUAAAAUAUAUUUUUUUUCUCGAUAUUUUUGAUAUUAUACCACGUUUUUGUAAUAUGGCUCAUGCUUCUUGGAAAUGCUUUUGAAAAAAAUGUUCUUGUUAAUAUCAUUAUCCAUCUGCUACAAUGCAGCAUAUUAGUUUCUUUCUCCUUAUAUAUGGUUGGAUUUGCUUCAUUUUGCUAAUGAACAAUGACUCAGUGUUUUUGCUCUAUC